GCCAGGCGUGGUGGCGGGCGCCUGUAAUCUCAGCUACCUGGGAGGCUGAGGCAGGCGAAUUGCUUGAAACCAGGAGGCAGAGGUUGCAGUGAGCGAAGAUUGUGCCACUGCACUCUAGCCUGGGUGACAGAGCAAGACUCUGUCUCAA
ensembl:misc_RNA Metazoa_SRP Metazoan signal recognition particle RNA